rnacentral:sRNA from 1 species
GGGAGAUGGUCCACUGUCCUCACGAGUUGCUACAGAUGCCUCUUUCACUGUUCAGUCAGCGUUCCUGGGUAACUCAGUGCUUGGACACUUGGAAAACAUGCACCCUGAUAACUCAAAGGCACCUGGCUUCAGACCACCUUCCCAGCGAGUUUCUACUAGUCCAGUUGGGUUACCAUCCAUUGACCCAUCAGGCAGCUCCCCAUCUUCCUCUUCUGCUCCUCUGGCAAGUUUUUCCGGCAUACCAGGAACAAGGGUUUUCCUGCAAGGGCCAGCUCCUGUUGGGACUCCUAGUUUCAACAGACAACAUUUUUCUCCCCAUCCUUGGACAAGCGCCUCAAACUCAUGUAGGAAUCCUGGAGGAACUCUUCCCAAAGAGUUUUGAAUAAGUUAUUAAAUCAUUUAUUUCAGUUACAACACCAUGUUGUAACUUCAGUAAACUAAGUGGUAUACAGAUGCCCAAGGUUUGUUCUGUGGUCAUGUGAAAAAAUUGUCAGUCAUUUUUAGCAUAGAAAACUUGAGAAUUAUUCUUUCAAGCCAAAAAUGUUUUACAGUAGAACUUGGAUCAAGAAAAGAGGUACUAGGCUGGGUGCAGUGGCUGACACCUGUAAUCCCAGCACUUUGGGAGGCCUAGGCAAGAGGAUCGCUUGAGCCCAGCAGUUGGAGACCAGCCUGGGCAACAGCAAGACCCUGUCUCUAUUUAAAAAA